rnacentral:lncRNA from 1 species
GGUGUGGGACCCCCCCAAAAAUGCCCACUGUGUGUAUGGGGGACCCCAAAAACCCCAUUAAAUGUAUGGGGGACCCCAAAACCCCAUUGUCUGUAUGGGGACCCCAAAAACCCCAUUGUCUGUAUGGGGACCCCAAAAACCCCAUUGUGUGUAUGGGGGACCCCAAUAAACCCUAUUGUGUGUAUGGGGGACCCCAAUAACCCCAUUGUGUGUAUGGAGGACCCCAAUAAACCCUAUUGUGUGUAUGGGGGACCCCAAAAACCCCAUUAAAUGUAUGGGGACCCCAAUAAAUCCCAUUGUCUGUGUGGGGACCCCAAAAACCCCAUUGUGUGUAUGGGGGACCCCAAUAAACCCUAUUGUGUGUAUGGGGGACCCCAAUAACCCCAUUGUGUGUAUGGAGGACCCCAAUAAACCCUAUUGUGUGUAUGGGGGACCCCAAAAUCCCCAUUAAAUGUAUGGGGACCCCAAAAACCCCAUUGUGUGUAUGGGGGACCCCAAUAACCCCAUUGUGUGUAUGGAGGAACCCAAUAAACCCUAUUGUGUGUAUGGGGGACCCCAAUAACCCCAUUAAAUGUAUGGGGACCCCAAUAAAUCCCAUUGUCUGUGUGGGGACCCCAAAAACCCCAUUGUGUGUAUGGGGACCCCAAUAAAUCCCAUUGUGUGUAUGGGGACCCCAAAAACCCCAUUAAAUGUAUGGGGGACCCCAAAAACCCCAUUGUCUGUGUGGGGACCCCAAAAACCCCAUUAAGUGUAUAUGGGGGACCCCAAUAAACCCUAUUGUGUGUAUGGGGGACCCCAAAAACCCCAUUGUGUGUAUGGGGGACCCCAAUAAACCCUAUUAAUGUAUGGGGACCCCAAAAACCCCAUUGUCUGUAUGGGGGACCCCAAUAAACCCCAUUGUCUGUGUGGGGACCCCCAAUAAAUCCCCAUUGGGUGUAUGGGGGACCCCAAAAAACCCCAUUAUCUUUAUGGGGGACCCCAAAGUGACCCCAUUGUGUGUAUGGGGGACCCCAAAAACCCCACUGUGUGUAUACGGGGGACCCCAAAAACCCCAUUGUGUGUAUGGGGGACCCCAAAAACCCCACUGUGUGUAAUGGGGACCCCAAAAACCCCAUUAAAUGUAUGGGGACCCCAAAAACCCCACUGUGUGUGUAUGGGGGACCCCCAAAAACCCCAUUAAAUGUAUGGGGGACCCCGAAAACCCCAUUGUGUGUAAUGGGGACCCCAAUAAACCCCAUUGUGUGUAUGGGGGACCCCAAAAACCCCAUAAUGUGUAAUGGGGACCCCAAAAACCCCACUGUGUGUAUAUGGGGGACCCCAAAUCCCCACUGUGUGUAUAUGGGGGACCCCAAUAAACCCCAUUGUCUGUGUGGGGGACCCCAAAAACCCCAUUGUGUGUAUGGGGGACCCCAAAAACCCCAUUAAAUGUAUGGGGGACCCCAAUAAAUCCCAUUGUGUGUAAAGGGGGGCCCAAAAACCCCAUUAAAUGUAUGGGGGACCCCAAUAAAUCCCAUUGUCUGUAAAGGGGGGACCCCAAAACCCCACUGUGUGUAUAUGGGGGACCCCAAAAACCCCAUUGUGUGUAUGGGGGACCCCCCCAAAAGUGACCCCAUUAAAUGUCGCCGUUUGGGGUCGGGGGGGACCCCAAAAAGCCAUAAAAGCCCCCCAAUAAAUCCCAUUGACC